AUGGCGGACCCGGCGUCCUUGGCCACCCCAGUUUCCCCGCCUGCCAAAAGGAAGAAGGAGGAUCCAACUCCUCUCCAAACCUCGCCGCUUCUUUCCCCCGCGGCGGCCGCAGGCUGGUCCGGCCUCCCGCCCGACCUCGUCCGCCGCGUCGCGGACUCUCUCCUCGCCACCAACGACCUCGACUGCUACGUGCACCUCCGUGCCACCUGCCCGGCUGGCGCACCGCCACCGAUGACCCUAAGAGCAGCGGCCCUGACCGUCGCUUCGAGCCGCGCCGGUGGAUCCUCCUCGACGAGGUCUUCCGGAGCGAGGGGGAAGACAUGCUCCUGUGCAACGCCGACAACCGGUCACUUCCUCCGCAGAAAGUUCCCCAUGCUCCGCGACCACUACGCCGUGGCAGCCACUCACAGCGGCCACUUUGUCCUAGCGGACAAGAGCCCUCCUCACACGGUCAGCGUCCUCAACCCUCUCACCGGCGCUAUCGUCCGUUUCCUGGUCCCCGUGCCACCGCAGAUGGGUGCCGCUGACGUCGUCUUCCGUGAUGGCUCUCCGCUCAAGCUCGUUUUCAUCUGCAACUCGUCUCAUGCGCAACAUUACACGGCCAAUCCCGAUAGUCAGAGUUUCACCGUGCUUGAUUGUGGACCGGAUUAUAAUUUCUUACUCAAGACGGGCGUGAAUGGUGGUGUGUACGCGAGUUUGAACAAAGCUGCCACGUUUGCUAUUCUAAUCACCUACCUGGCAGCCUAUCAUUUCCCGCCUGGUUUGAGUACAAGCAUGUUGCUUGCCAAUGUUUUCUCCGGCUGCACAUAUGACGGAGACGAUGAUCGAUGUUUUCUAGUCGGAUUGGAUGGACACAUGUUGCUCGUCUUCAGAAAACGUACAAGCAUCUUCCCCGGUGUUCUCAGAUUUGACACCGUGACCCGCCAGCUCGUGCCUAUGUGGAGCAUCGGCAGGUUUGCCAUCUUCGUUGGGCAUCGGAGGUGUGUGGCUGUGGAUGCUGAUAAGUUCCCACGCAUUGAGCCGAAUUGCGUCUACUUCACUCGACAUCUGGAUCGGUCUGCUCGCAUAUGGAAGUAUAACUUCAAUUUGAUCCAAGUGAUAUCUGAAGAUGUCGAUUUCUUGGAGCAUGACGAUCAGUUUGUCCUCGUCGCCGACCGUCCUUUCACCAUCAUCCAUCUUCUCUCCAGCUACGGCAUCAACAUGCCAGAUUCUCAACUGCCCUUGUAA
rnacentral:rRNA from 1 species